rnacentral:rRNA from 1 species
UACGUAGGGGGCGAGCGUUGUCCGGAUUUAUUGGGCGUAAAGAGCUCGUAGGCGGUUUGGCAAGUCGGGUGUGAAAACUCCGGGCUCAACUCGGAGACGCCACUCGAUACUGCCAUGACUAGAGUCCGGUAGGGGAGUGCGGAAUUCCUGGUGUAGCGGUGAAAUGCGCAGAUAUCAGGAGGAACACCGGUGGCGAAGGCGGCACUCUGGGCCGGUACUGACGCUGAGGAGCGAAAGCGUGGGGAGCGAACAGG